UGUCUCAUGGUGUAAUGGUAACACAACUGAUUUUGGUUCAGUCGUUCAAGGUUCGAAUCCUUGUGAGACAACUA
rnacentral:tRNA from 4 species